rnacentral:lncRNA from 1 species
CCUUAUGAUGAAGAAACAGAAGCGUAGAUAGGCUAAGAAACUUGCCCCAAAACACACAGGAAAGCCAAAGUCUCAAGAAUAUCAAGGAGCAGAGGCUUCCCAGACCUCAACUUCUGACUCCUGGCGCUCGAACACCGCUCAAACAGGAAGACAAGACAAGAGACAAUGGCGAAGGAUGCCCACCUGCCAUCCUCCUAUCUCACCCUCCCCGCCCCCCCACCAGCCUUGCUGCAAGCAGCCUCUCAAGGCCAAAUGCAGGCUGGUGGGAAAACGCCAGCCUGCACAGCUACACGCGCCCCCUCCUCUACCCAAAACCCCAAAUAAAAAUCCCUAC